CCUACGGGGUGCUGCAGUGGGGAAUAUUGCACAAUGGGGGAAACCCUGAUGCAGCGACGCCGCGUGAGUGAUGAAGUUUUUCGGAUUGUAAACCUCUAUCAGCAGGGAAGAAAAUGACGGUACCUGAUUAAUAAGCCCCGGCUAACUCCGUGCCAGCAGCCGCGGUAAUACGUAGGGUGCAAGCGUUAUCCGGAUUUACUGGGCGUAAAGGGAGCGUAGACGGGAGAGCAAGUCUGGAGUGAAAUCCCGGGGCUUAACCAUGGAACUGCUUUGGAAACUGUGAAGCUAGAGUGUAGGAGAGGUAGGUGGAAUUCCUGGUGUAGGGGUGAAAUGCGUAGAGAUUAGGAGGAACACUAGUGGUGAAGGCGACUUACUGGAAUGUAACUGACGUUGAGGCGCGAAAGCGUGGGGAGCAAACAGGAUUAGAUACCCGUGUAGUC
rnacentral:rRNA from 1 species